GGAGAGGUGACCGAGAGGCCGAAGGUAGCGGUUUGCUAAACCGUCGUAGGGCGUAAGCUCUACCGUGGGUUCGAAUCCCACCCUCUCCG
rnacentral:tRNA from 1 species